UCGGUCAGAUUAGAUUCAAACUGAUAGCAGGAUCCAGCCUGGAUCCAACAUCCUCAUCCAGAAAUGAAGUGUUGGCAGCAUCAUGCUGUAAUAGAUGCUACUGGAUAGAACAUCCCCCCCGUCCAGUCCACCAAGGCACCAAUUUUAUAUAUUUGGGUUCACAAAACCUAUAAUGGGGAACGGCUUUUGUCAGAUAAAUAACUGUAGGACAGUAAUUUCUUUUUUAUUUUUAUUAAUUAGGCCUCAAUGCAAAACCUAGAAAAAUGUUUUCAUGCAUAGAAACAUCUCUUUAAGUCUACUUCUGCUUAUUCUUUUAAACUUUGCUGUUCUCUGGUCUGAACUACAGAUUAAUAACCAUCAGCAGCGGGUUUGACACCAUCAGCAGCCAGGUCUUUCCUGAUGUUGGUGGUUCGUUCCAAUCAGUUCUAGCGGGGGGGGGGGGGGGACCAAAGGCUGGGAUGCUGGUCUGCUUGAUAUUUAAAACAUAAAUAAUCCAUAUGCUUUUACGGCUCACUGUGGUCCGGUCUCUGCCUUGCUGCAGCUCCCAGAGCGAAGCCGGCUGUAGAUUCAUAUUUGCUUAGUAGGCAACAGGUAAGACAGAAACACUAGUGGCUUAUUCAAUGAUGAAAUAUUAGAAAUCUAGACUCAGACUGGCCCUUCAUAAUAUUCAUUAUUAAAUGAUCUAAUAUUUGUGUUAUAAUCCAUUUAUUAUGUACAUUUUCUAAACUAAAUCUGAAUUGUUUUAGUAUUUUAAAUGCUUGGAAUAGCCAAUAUUUUUCCCUCAAGUUUUUUCUAAAAUUACAUUUCCUGUCAUUAAUAUUUUUGAUUAUAUUUAAUCCAAAUAAUCAGUGUUGCGUCCCAAAGGUUUAGGGGGUUCUGGGGAGGUAAAUAGGUGGAAUGUAAAAAUCAUUUAUAACAAAAGACGGUUAAACAGACCCAAAACAUAAUACAGCUUAACCCAAUUAAAACAAAAGAAAAGGGCAAACAAAUUCAAGAAUGGUUCAGUGCAAAUUAAAUUACAAACUGUCCAAAACCAGUCAGUCUCAGAUUAACUCAAAACAACCCAAAAGAAAAGACUAAGGGAGCCUCAAACCUCCCAAACCUCCCAAACACAAACUUCUAGCUUGAACAACUCCACCUAAAGUUGAUUCAGAAUAAUAUCCAAGCUAGGUCAAACAGUUCUACCUGCUUAAAACAGUUUGAAACCAAGGGUGGGGGAACAGCUUAACAAAACCUUCUUACUGUCCCCAAACUAACAGCUUUCCAGGAUCCUUUGAUAAGGUGUAGGUGAGCCAAACAUCCUGAUUGGCUCUGCUGGUCCAAUCAGGGCAAGAAGGAUCUGCCAGGGCUGAACCUGCAUCAGGAAACAAGCCUGCACAGUCUGAAAAGGCCAGGGGCCGUAACACUCGUCAGGGGCCUUAACACUCGGUCAGGGGCCGUAACACUCGGUCAGGGGCCGUAACAAAAGUCCAGGGGCCGUAACAAUCGGUCAGGGGCCGUAACAAAAGUCCAGGAGCCGUAACAAAAGGCCAGGGGCCGUAACAAUCAGUCAGGGGCCGUAACAAAAGGCCAGCAGCCGUAACAAAAGGCCAGGGGCCGUAACAAUCGGUCAGGUGCCGUAACAAAAGGCCAGCAGCCGUAACAAAAGGCCAGGGGCCGUAACAAUCGGUCAGGGGCCGUAACAAUCGGUCAGGGGCCGUAACAAAAGGCCAGGGGCCGUAACAAAAGGCCAGCAGCCGUAACAAAAGGCCAGGGGCCGUAACAAUCGGUCAGGGGCCGUAACAAAAGGCCAGCAGCCGUAACAAAAGGCCAGGGGCCGUAACAAUCGGUCAGGGGCCGUAACAAAAGGCCAGGGGCCGUAACAAAAGGCCAGCAGCCGUAACAAAAGGCCAGGGGCCGUAACAAUCGGUCAGGGGCCGUAACAAAAGGCCAGCAGCCGUAACAAAAGGCCAGGGGCCGUAACAAUCAGUCAGGGGCCGUAACAAAAGGCCAGCAGCCGUAACAAAAGGCCAGGGGCCGUAACAAAAGGCCAGGGGCCGUAACAAUCGGUCAGGGGCCGUAACAAAAGGCCAGGGGCCGUAACAAUCGGUCAAAGCUACGUAUGAUUCUACUUCUAAAAGUUUAUUGGCUUUUUAAACAUCUCCUGCGGCUCCUGCUGCAGCCAUGACUGCGCAGAGCUGGACUCCUAUCCAGGCAUAGAUAUGAAAUGAUCAACCUUCAUUCCUACACAUAAAGUCAGAGCUAACAGGAAGGCCUUCAGUUAAAACUGUAUUCAUAUAUAAAAUAUAGAUGGGAUAAUGCAUCCUUUUCAGUUAGUAAAAAAUAUAUGCUUUUAAUCCUUGAAGCAGGAAAUAGAACCAGCGAACUGUAGCCUGAAAAGCACCACAUAUUAAAUUUACAUCGUUAUUAAUUUUAAAAAUGAAAACUUGUUUUCCUUUUUGCAAGUAUUGCCUUUAUUUCUGUCCAUCAAAUAAAAUCCCAGUAAAACAUAUUAAAAUGUGUGAGAUGAUAAAAGAUGUAUGACAGACAUUAUUUAUAUGAUGUCAUUUGUUUAUUUAUUUAGAAAGAACUGAUUAUUGCUAUCAGAGAGGAUUUGUUUGCAUCAGAACUUCACCUCAUUAAGCGUUUAGAUAAAGUCUUCCCCCUUUGGUCCGGAUUACUGUUGCUUUACUGUGAUAUUCUGAGAACUUGAGUUUCCUUGUUGUAACCGAAUCAUGGAUCCCUGCAGAAGCAUGCCGCACUUUUCUUUUUUUUCUCGUAAACUUCCAGGAAACAAAUGCUCCUCCAUCGGCCAUGUUUUUUUUUUUUUUUUUAUAAAUGGUCUCAAUGCAACUCAAAGCAAUGAGCCUGAUAGUUAUUUUCCAUUUCGAUCCACACAGACAGUGAGUAAUGCGCUUUACCAAUGACGCUGCAGCAGCUCUACCCUGAAAUGUUCUAUAUUUGCUCACAGCCCAGAGACUAGUUUGCUAGUUUAGUUUAAACCAAAAUACCUUUUCUGUCUCAGUUUAUUUAGGAUGUUCUUAUAUUAGAUUGUGUUGAUUAGUGGUGAGGAAACCGAAACACAUUUGACUGAUUAUAAAAAGCCAACAUGGACCCAACAGUCUUCUUCUUACUAAUGUUAUUUUCUUGGUGGUAUGAAUGCUUUGAGUUUCAGUUCGUUAUUGUUGCCAAAUGACUGAUAUCUGAGAACAUGUCCAAUAAAAUGUGUGAAAC